GAUCAUGGCUCAGGAUUAACGCUGGCGGCGUGCAUAACACAUUCAAGUCGAACGGAGAGAGGCAGCUUCGGUUGCGUCAAUCAGUGGCGGACGGGUGAGUAACGCGUGAGUAACCUGCCUGUAAGAGGGGGAUAACACCUGGAAACGGGUGCUAAUACCGCAUAAAUCAUAGUUGUCGCAUGGCAGCGAUGUAAAAGAGGAAUUGCUUACAGAUGGACUCGCGU
rnacentral:rRNA from 1 species